GUACGGGGAAGGGGGGGAUCUUCGGACCUCUCGCUAUCAGAUGAGCCCAUGUCAGAUUAGCUAGUUGGUGGGGUAAAGGCUCACCAAGGCGACGAUCUGUAACUGGUCUGAGAGGAUGAUCAGUCACACUGGAACUGAGACACGGUCCAGACUCCUACGGGAGGCAGCAGUGGGGAAUAUUGGACAAUGGGCGAAAAGCCUGAUCCAGCCAUGCCGCGUGUGUGAAGAAGGCCUUCGGGUUGUAAAGCACUUUCAGUGGGGAGAAAGGUUAUUCACCUAAUACGUGAGUAAAUUGAUGCUACCCACAGAAGAAGCACCGGCUAACUCCGUG
rnacentral:rRNA from 1 species